rnacentral:rRNA from 1 species
GACUGCUAAUACUUUAUAUCCCUNUUAUGCAUAAGUAUAAAAGGAAAAGAUUUAUGGGUAAGAGAUUAGCUUGUAUUGUAUCAGUUAGUUGGUGAGGUAAUGGCUCACCAAGACAAUGACGCAUAACUGGUUUGAGAGGAUGAUCAGUCACACUGGAACUGAGACACGGUCCAGACUCCUACGGGAGGCAGCAGUGGGGAAUAUUGCACAAUGGACGGAAGUCUGAUGCAGCAACGCCGCGUGGAGGAUGACACAUUUCGGUGCGUAAACUCCUUUUAUAUGAGAAGAUAAUGACGGUAUUAUAUGAAUAAGCACCGGCUAACUCCGUGCCAGCAGCCGCGGUAAUACGGGGGGUGCAAGCGUUACUCGGAAUCACUGGGCGUAAAGAGCAUGUAGGCGGAUUGAUAAGUUUGAAGUGAAAUCCUAUAGCUUAACUAUAGAACUGCUUUGAAAACUGUUAAUCUAGAAUGUGGGAGAGGUAGAUGGAAUUUCUGGUGUAGGGGUAAAAUCCGUAGAUAUCAGAAGGAAUACCGAUUGCGAAGGCGAUCUACUGGAACACUAUUGACGCUGAGAUGCGAAAGCGUGGGGAGCAAACAGGGUUAGAUACCCUGGUAGUCCACGCCCUAAACGAUGUACACUAGUUGUUGUGAGGCUAGACCUUGCAGUAAUGCAGUUAACACAUU